AGCAUCAUAGUGGGCUGCAAUGUGUGAGAAAUGGAACAGAAGAUGCGGUGUAAAGGUGUAGUGAAAGAAGAUGGAAGCAGAGAGGAGUGAAUGUCCAUCAGGGAACCAGAAAGAGAGAAUUAAGAGGGAAAAAAACUAUAGAACUAAAAUGAAGGGUGGAGAAGGAGGACAAGGGAGCAUAUGUGCAUGUACUAGCAUGUGAGCUGUGGACUCUGUACCCAUAUGCAGUUGUGGGAUACGGCGUGCGAGGACCGGAUGACCAUCACGCUAAACAACAGUGGGUGCAUCGAAUGACAAUAUUCUUCUGUGCUCGUCUAACUUCAUUCAAGCACGGCCUUGCUUAGGGCUCCACAAAAUUACAGAAUCCUGCAGUACCAGAUUCAAAUCCAACCACCAGCAAUAACAAAGAAAUUAAACAAACUGCAUAUCAGUUUUCUGGCGUCUGCCUCCCAGCUCUCCUAAUUCAAUACUUUGAUAGUACAACACACUCAAAAAUAAAAUAAAUUAUUUUACUAUAUGGUUGUUAUCCUACGAGAAGUAAAAAGACUGGGAUGAAUACAUAAAGAGGGGCUUCAUAAUUCGUUAGAUUGACAGUCCAUACGCACAAUAAUUUUCUAUGCAAGUUUUAAUGCUUAUUGAGAUCCAACAUAUUGUUUGAUUUAACUGGUCAUUUACAAGCGGUUCUCUUUAAGUGCCCGAAACUACUAAAUUGUACACGUACUUUCUGUUGCUGACUUCAACACGCAAUGGACUACGUCUUAAGCAGCUCACCUACUUCAGUGAAGUGGACUACGUAGGUGUGGUUUCCGGUGGAAAGCUGUAGUUGAACUGGACACAGGUAGGUGGGAGGACAAUUUAAGGCGGAAAUGAAGGUUACAGGGCAGUAGGCUGUGGACUAGAUUUCGUCUAGUGACAAGCUCUUGCGAAAACGGUAACGAAUGAACGAGUGUUAGAUUCUCAAGAAUGACCGUGCUCCAUGAUACUGGUUACUAAAUCUCUGAAGACGAAACGUUGCAAACACAUUAGUA